UGGCUCAGGACGAACGCUGGCGGCGUGCCUAACACAUGCAAGUCGAACGAGGUCCAUCCUUCGGGAGAAGACCUAGUGGCGAACGGGUGAGUAACACGUGAGGAACCUGCCCCGAAGACCGGGAUAACCCUCCGAAAGGAGAGCUAAUACCGGAUACCCCCACCGAACCGCAUGGUUUGGUGAGGAAAUGGAUUCCGCUUCGGGAGGGCCUCGCGGCCUAUCAGCUAGUUGGUGGGGUAACGGCCCACCAAGGCAUCGACGGGUAGCUGGUCUGAGAGGACGAUCAGCCACACUGGGACUGAGACACGGCCCAGACUCCUACGGGAGGCAGCAGUGGGGAAUCUUGCGCAAUGGGCGAAAGCCUGACGCAGCAACGCCGCGUGGGGAUGAAGGCUCUCGGGUUGUAAACCCCUUUCAGCAGGGACGAAUCAAGACGGUACCUGCAGAAGAAGCCCCGGCUAACUACGUG
rnacentral:rRNA from 1 species